GGGCGAGUAGCAAGAAGAAAAUUUUAUAUCAGUAAAGAAAAAACAAAAACUUCGACUCGAAAAUCACAAAAUCGAUGAAACAAACGACGUCUGAUUACUGUCCAAAAUUGCUGUUUGCUGAUGAAAGUAAAUUUAGCAAGAUGCAAGUUUAACAUCUUCGGCUGAGAUGAACGAGUGCUGGUUUGGGGAAAACCCAAAGACGAGUUUCGGAAGCAAAACUUAGUACCAAAUGUUAAGCACGGCGGGGAUGUAUCAACAGUAUGAGGAUUUAUGGCACGUUCUGGUGUUGGUAAUAUAGAGUUUAUAGAUGGCCUUAUUUAAUGCUUUAUAGAUGGCCUAAGUAUUUUGACAUCUUGAAGCGAAAAGAAUGUCAGGACUGUUUCCAGUUUGAACAAAAUGGUCACAUGGUACUUAGCUGUAACAUGAGGCGGGAGGCUUUUCAUACGGGGGCCCAGGCACAAGUGGAUCUCAGCCUGAACCUCCAACUCAUUCAAGCUGUAGAAUCACGGGCAGGAAGAAUAGGUCAGAAAAUGGCCUCCAAAGCCGGGGACCAAUGCCAUAGGGCAUAAGAAGUUCUGAUGAAUCAUUUGCAACAUGUCAAUAUUCGCACAAACAACGACCAGAUGGUAUUGCACCAAUAGAAUAGGAGAUAAAUAUAUUUUGUUUGCUACCAUGUAAUUCUUCAAAAACAGCUGCAAAAAUUUUAUUACAAGCUGUGAUGCCACGGUAGAGACAAAUUCCUGUUUGAAAACCAAUAAACGUAACUCUUCUAUCGAUAAAUAAUAACAAACUUUGAGGCAUAAAAUUUGGAAACAUCAUUUGAAUUUAAACAAAGAGUAAAACGGGUGUAUAAUCGAUAAUGGGACAUUAUUUCAGGAAAAAUAAAAUAUCUUCGCUUUUCACUUGCAAAGAAUUUGGUUUAAAACGGAUAAAAUAAUUGCUGUAAUUAUCAGUAAACACCCCUGAAAAUGUUUAUUUAAUGGACUCCGAGCUAAACUAUUGAUUAGAAAUGAAAAGAGGAAUAAUUUAAUUAUUUUCGUUAAAAGCAAUUUUCAGGCACUGAAAUGUAUGAUGAAUGCUUUCUGUAGCAUCGGUUCGUUGUGUAGGUUCGUAUCUGUAGGGCAAGUGCAUCACAGCUUGUUAAAAAAAAGCAGUUUGGAUAAAUGGACCACGUUUCUGUGACAGGAUAUGAUGAAUUAAAAUAUAUUGUCUUGGAAAUAUUUUUGGUGCCAUUUCUUUUUUCCAAGGAAUAAAAGUAACCCGAGCAGACGUUUCUGACCCAAAUCUAGGAUAUACGCAGAGACACUUUUGAUGACUUAAAUUACAGGGUUACCACAAAUGUUUCAUUUUUAAAAAGGCUAUAUUUUCAAAAGUAUUUUACGUACACACAUGAAAGGUAUAUGAAAAUAACCACAAACUCAUAAAGGUUUUUUUUCACUAUUUCACUAAGUUUCUCGGAUAACUGGAAUAUUGCUUCAUCGCUGAAUAUCAUCUUGGUGGCGAAAUCUUCAUCGUCCUCCAAUGCUGUCACAAAAAUCUAGUCCACCGGCGUAAUCCUCCGUCUUUAACUGUUGCAGGAGCUAUACAUGGUACGGCUUGAAAUGCAGUUGCUGGCGCAAAAUCUUCCACCCGGUUUUUGCGGUAUCCGGAACAUCCGAGCCAAUUGACAGAAUGGCCAUCUGGACAACAAUGCUGGACGCCUGGACGUGUGUCGUGCCACCAAAGGGUCACAUACUGAAUAUUUGUACAGGAUGUAUAAACUUGCUAUCCAAGAGACCCGUUGGUUUGCAUGUCCCGCACAAUUUGGUCUGUUCGCCAACCCCAUGAAUCCAAGAAACUUCUUCGUCUGCGACAGGGGUCUAGCGUACGACACGCCGUGUCCUUAUUACCGCCCAAACUUCAAUGCCGAACUGAAGAUAUGCAUGGUCUUGCCGACACCAAACUUGCAUGGAAAAGAAAGAAAUGCACAGCCUCUUGAUAUUGAAAAAUAAAUGAAAAUUCGGUGGCAUCCACCAAGAUUUGUCGGCUCGUAAUGGACAAUUCUGCUGUCUGGGCGAAGCUAUUUAUGUGCCUGUGUUGGUGUACUUCUGCUGUUGCCGGUGGAUACAAAAGACUGUGGAAAACCAAACCACUAGUCGUAAAUCGUAGAUUUCAAUUUUAAUCUAAAUUUUAAUGUUGUAUAACGAUGGGACCUUGUCAUUUUAUGCUGAAUCGAAAUUUGUGUAACUUUUAUGAAAUAAAUGUGUACUAUUUCCCA
rnacentral:misc_RNA from 1 species